rnacentral:rRNA from 1 species
UCCCUUAUGGGUAGGGCUUCACACGUCAUACAAUGGUCGGUACAGAGGGUUGCCAAGCCGCGAGGCGGAGCCAAUCCCACAAAGCCGAUCGUAGUCCGGAUUGUUCUCUGCAACUCGAGAGCAUGAAGUCGGAAUCGCUAGUAAUCGCAGGUCAGCAUACUGCGGUGAAUACGUUCCCGGGUCUU